rnacentral:lncRNA from 1 species
CUGGGGUGGGGUCCCGAGAGUCUUCAGGUGCACAGGGCUGGAAACGGGGUCAGGGCUACCUUAUGCGCCCCACCCUUUCAAGGAAACUGAGGCCCAGAGAACAGCAGGUGCUGGCACUGGCAGGGCGAUCCCUGACGCUCGGGGAACAGUGUCAGCUCCACCGCUGGAACCCGUGUGUUCUGCCCAUAGCCCACCAUGGCCACCGGGGCCCGUCCCUGCUGCUGUAUGCUUGCCCAUGGCCCGAAUUUUAGGGCAUAGUCAGGGUGGGGGGUGCCUGGAGAUCACCCUGCUGGAGCUGACCUCUGUCCCCACCUGCAGUGCAGCCCAAGCGGGCUGAGCCCAGGGAGGCAUCCCCACUCCACAGCCUGGGCCACCUCAUCAUGGACCAGAGCUAUGUGUGCGCACUCAUCGCCAUGAUGGUAGGCGGCUGUGGGGUUGGGUGGGAUGGGGUGGGGAAGGUGGCUGUGCAGCCCCUCCCUCCGCCGCGCAGGUGUGGGGCAUCGCUGGGGGGGGGUGCGCUGGGCGGCCAUGCAGUCCCCUCUGCCACGCAGGUGUGGAGCAUCACCUACCAUAGCUGGCUGACCUUUGUGCUGCUGCUCUGGGCCUGCCUCAUCUGGACAGUGCGCAGCCGCCACCAGCUGGCCAUGCUAUGUUCACCCUGCAUCCUGCUGUACGGGAUGACGCUGUGCUGUCUGCGCUACGUGUGGGCCAUGGACCUGCGCCCUGAGCUGCCUACCACCCUGGGCCCCGUCAGUCUGCGCCAGCUGGGGCUGGAGCACACCCGCUACCCCUGCCUGGACCUUGGCGCCAUGUUGCUCUACACCCUGACCUUCUGGCUCCUGCUGCGCCAGUUUGUGAAAGAGAAGCUGCUGAAGCGGGCAGAGGCUCCAGCUGCGCUAACGGAGGUCACUGUGGCAGACACAGGUGAGUGGCAGGCCAGAGGUGGGGGCUGCCCUCCUGCCCGCCCGCCCGCCCCGAUGCCAUCGCCUGCCCCCGGCUUGGCCCACAGAGCCCACGCGGACGCAGACCCUGCUGCAGAGCCUGGGGGAGCUGGUGAAGGGCGUCUAUG